AUGAGCUCCUCCAUGCCACGCCCCCCCCUCAAGGUGGCUGAUGGCGUCCCCGCAGCGUGAGGAACGUACGCGACGACAAACUUCAGAACUAAGGAGAAAGGAAUAAUCCCGCUUCCACACGGGACUCACCUGCACGUAGAUCUUGUUCUCCACUCUGUGGAUCCUCACCCGAUGGAGGCGGCCGUCUGCCAGGUUGGCGGAGGCGGGGCAGAAGACGUCGGGCUUCCUGUCCGUCUGCAGGUGGUACCAAAUCUGCAGACUUCCUGAAAGCAGGGCAGCGACAACGGGAACUUCAACACAGCUGCCUUUUUAAGAUGGUCAAGUCUAAAAAUCAACAAUAAAGAUGUAUACAUUGACAACAAUGUUGCCACUUUUUCAGUCCGACUGACACAAAGAUGUGUUUUUUUUACACCACUUCUGACUUUAAAAGGCUCAAUUACACAUACAGUAUCUAUAACCACAUUUUUCCUUUGCGCCCUGAGCCUUUGACUUCAAUGAAGUCACUUUGGGAUGGGGAUUUGAGCCUGAAGUUAAUUGGACAGAGAUCUUAAGUAGAGUUCACAGGUCUGGCAUUGGUGCCAGACACAGCCUUACUCACAGCAAGCUAAUACAUCGUACUUAUUAUACCAAGGUCCAA